UUAUUUUUAUCCAUUUUAUGAUGUGUUAGUUUUAGAGUGAAAAGGAUCAUUUUUUGAAAGUAUCAGACAGACUGAUAUUCACUAGACACACCAAGUCAAACUAGAGAACUAAGUUGUAGUAUUCUGUGCAGUAUAAGCCUUGCCUGUCGAGUUAUUACAUCCUUAGUCUACUCUGUUAUCUAGAGCUGGCUCCCUUGUUAACUUGAACUGAUUAUUGACCCAGUCCAGUGGUCAUCUCAAGUGCCAGCUGGCUCUGGCCUUUAUCUCCUGUCUGUCUGACCUGAGGUCAAGGAGACCACUAGUUAUAUAUUGUAGCCUCUAUGAGAAAGGAUCUAAAAGUGUUUUUUUUUCUCUCUUUUUUUUUUCUCCUGUGGUUAUAUG